rnacentral:rRNA from 1 species
AAAAUGACUCUCGACAACGGAUAUCUCGGCUCUCGCAUCGAUGAAGAACGUAGCAAAAUGCGAUACUUGGUGUGAAUUGCAGAAUCCCGUGAACCAUCGAGUUUUUGAACGCAAGUGGCGCCUGAAGCUAUUAGGUUGAAGGCACGUCUGCCUGGGCGUCUCGC